rnacentral:rRNA from 1 species
GACGAACGCUGGCGGCGUGCUUAACACAUGCAAGUCGAACGGAAAGGCCCUGCUUUUGUGGGGUGCUCGAGUGGCGAACGGGUGAGUAACACGUGAGUAACCUGCCCUUGACUUUGGGAUAACUUCAGGAAACUGGGGCUAAUACCGGAUAGGAGCUCCUGCUGCAUGGUGGGGGUUGGAAAGUUUCGGCGGUUGGGGAUGGACUCGCGGCUUAUCAGCUUGGUGGUGGGGUAGUGGCUUACCAAGGCUUUGACGGGUAGCCGGCCUGAGAGGGUGACCGGCCCCAUUGGGCCUGAGAUACGGCCCAGACUCCUACGGGAGGCAGCAGUGGGGAAUAUUGCACAAUGGGCGGAAGCCUGAUGCAGCCACGCCGCGUGCGGGAUGACGGCCUUCGGGUUGUAAACCGCUUUCGCCUGUGACGAAGCGUGAGUGACGGUAAUGGGUAAAGAAGCACCGGCUAACUACGUG